rnacentral:rRNA from 1 species
CCUACGGGUGGCUGCAGUGAGGAAUAUUGGUCAAUGGCCGUAAGGCUGAACCAGCCAAGUCGCGUGAAGGAUGAAGGAUCUAUGGUUUGUAAACUUCUUUUAUCGGGGAAUAAAGGUAUCCACGUGUGGAUAUUUGCAUGUAACCUAUGAAUAAGCAUCGGCUAACUCCGUGCCAGCAGCCGCGGUAAUACGGAGGAUGCGAGAGUUAUCCGGAUUUAUUGGUUUUAAAGGGUGCCUAGGUUGUUUUUUAAGGUAGGGGUGAAAGUUUGUGGCUCAACCAUAAUAUUGCCGUUGAAACUGGAAGACUUGAGUGUGUUUGAGGUAGGCGGAAUGCGUGGUGUAGCGGUGAAAUGCAUAGAUAUCACGCAGAACUCCGAUUGCGAAGGCAGCUUACCAAGCCAUAACUGACACUGAAGCACGAAAGCGUGGGGAUCAAACAGGAUUAGAUACCCUUGUAGUC